rnacentral:lncRNA from 1 species
UAUUAAAAAAAAAAAAAAAAAAAAUUAUAAAAAUUUGCCGGUCUUUAGGACGGAAUUGUGAUUUGAAAGUGGUUACUGUAAUAUCAAUUUUGGGUAGGUCUCACUCUAUAAAGCGAAAUGAUUUAAUGAAGAACGACUGUUCCAAACCAAAUUCUGCCAAUCACGUUUAAUUUGAUCUUUAAAUGAAUGUCCCGGUUAAACAGAUGCCAAGUCGAACUUUCGUCAUAAACGGGGCAGGAUUUAUGUAUAAGCUAGACAAGUUAUAGCUUUAGGGCUUCGUGUUACAAGGGACCUCACGUUUCACUAAAAAAAAUAUUAAAUGCAUUUAUGGAGGGCUUCUUAAAUGUUGCAGCUUAACAGCCAUAAUAAGCACAUAUCCCGUCCUAAUUAAUUUUUAAUUAUUUAAUUAAAGUUGUAAUUCGUAGGAUGCGUGUUAAAAAUCAAAAGUUACAUUUCUACAUGUUGUAUAUCAACAAAAAAAUCAGUAUAUUUUUAAAGCAUUGUAAAAUAUAUGAUAUGCAAUAUAUAUAUGAGAGCGUGAUUGGAGGUUAUAUUUCAAGAACCACAAAAACUAUUUGGUAGCAAUAAACAUUUUUAUCUGCUUAGAACAGAACUUGAAAAUUCUUCGUAACUCUCCAGACUGAAGGAUUCCAUUCAGUUUGUUCUAUUUUAAAGACUCUCUUACUCUAAAUGCUCAAAAUCUCUUUAAAAUGUUCGAACGAAUUGUCGUAAAAACGAAAUACUGUACAAGUAAUAGGUGGUUAAUAUACGUUAACGCAGCAAAUGCAACAUAUAAUUUAUUUUCUUGUCACAUUUAUUAUCAUUUUUCUAUUCUUAAAGAAGUAGAACAACAGCAUGUUAAUUUACAAAAAUGCAUAUUUAAUUUAUAUGCAAAUAAUACAAUUUCAGAAC